UACAGAGGUCUCAAGCGUUGUUCGGAUUUACUGGGCGUAAAGGGCGCGUAGGCGGUCAGCACAAGUCAGUUGUGAAAUCUCCGGGCUUAACUCGGAAAGGUCAACUGAUACUGUGCGACUAGAGUGCAGAAGGGGCAACUGGAAUUCUCGGUGUAGCAGUGAAAUGCGUAGAUAUCGAGAGGAACACCUGCGGCGAAGGCGGGUUGCUGGGCUGACACUGACGCUGAGGCGCGAAAGCCAGGGGAGCGAACGGG
rnacentral:rRNA from 1 species